rnacentral:tRNA from 1 species
AACUAAGCAGUGAUUACACAUUAAAUUGCAAAUUUAAAGGAGCGAAAGCCUUAGUUA